rnacentral:misc_RNA from 1 species
AACCCCCUCAAGCCUGGCUUGGUAUUGGGCGCCGGGGACCCCCCGCGCCCCCAUGUCGCCGGCUGGCCGUCGUCUGACUUAGCGUUGUGGCACAUGUCGCUGACGACGAAGACGGACCGCGCCGUGAGAACCACCUUGAGUGUCACCCGACAUUCAGUAAC